CUUUUAAAGGGAAAACACAUAGCUAUUCUACUCUAGUGGAUGGAAAUAGAGUGUUCUAAUUUAAACUAAUGGUAUAGAAAGCCAAAUAAAUACUCUUGAUGUCAGGCUAAAUGAGAAAAUGAUCCUACUUUUAUCCCAUGUAAUCUGUUCUUAUUAUAUGAAUGUUACGAGUAUUUUUGCUUAGAGAUUGAUAUAUUACAAGCCAGUAAUAGAUUUUUCUUAAAAACUCCUUUUGAAGAAGAGAGAUCUAAAUUGAAAGACAACCAUAGAAUGUUUAAUGAGUUGUGAGAGAUGAAGAUACCAAGAUAUUGUGAGGGACGUGUGAGGUCUAAAUGAGUUAAUAUGUGUAAAGCACUUGGUGGGGUGCCUGGCACACAAGAAGCACUGUAUUAUUGCUGCCGCUGUUCUUAUUAAGAACUUCAAGUAGCUUGCAAUCCAGUGGUAGAGAUAAACGCAUAAGCUGACAACAAGUAAUGUGAUAAAUGAUGUAAUUUAGCUAUGAUCAAAAUUCUGUGGGCAUUCCAAGGGGACAGGGUCUGCCAGGGAAUAGGGAGAGUGGCAGGAAAACAAGAUGGCACCCAGAGAUCCCACAGCUGCAGAGUGAGCACGUUGCUAGAACUAGAGCAACGCAACCUUUUUCAGAAACACUUUAUUUGUUGGUAAAUCUUUUACUACUAAAGGCUUUACUUCUUAGAAUCCACAAUGUUUAAAGUUUCCACAGUUUCAAGCACUCCUUUGCCUCUGGUGGUUGGGGGAAGGGGGCCACUGGGCAGAAGGGCAAGGCUUUCACCAAGAUGAUAUGAGAAUGGGGAACAGGGGGAAGAGGUCUCUGAAGCUUAUGAAGAUGUGGCCCAGUACUCAAAGGAAGUUCUGGCCUCAUCUAGAAGUCCAACGAGGAUGUUCAGACUCCAGGAGGGGAAGACACAUUCCCAUCCCCCAGGCUCCUGUCCCUCUCUAGUAGAGGAGAAACAGUGGAGCACAGACUUGGUGAUGUGUACAUUGAGCAAGAGGGAAGGGGUAGGCGGUGGAGCUGUGGCCCAACUUGGCGGGCACUGCCCAAAAAAGCCCACCUUUUUCCUCCAAACCCAUGCCAGGUGUCUAGCACACUAACUCAGUGUUUCCUAAGCCAAAUGACAUGGAAGGCUGCUUAAAAGUCUACAUUCUUUACUACAGGCCAUUAACUUUAUGUAGGCAAAACAUAUUUAUGUUCCUCUGGUUCUUCAAUAAACAGAGUAGAGAAACUUUCUGUGGGUAGUUCACUCUGGGCCGGUGAAAAGAGGGCAGCUAUUCUGAUGUGAAUAACUAAUAAAACAUAUACAGAGAAAAAAAAGUUCAAAAUUAAACAGAGGAACACUGUUGCUAGAAUUAAAUAGAUACAACUUUUUGGGAAGGCAUUUUGGCAAUAGCUAUCAAACUUGACCCAGCUAUUCCACUGUUUCACAUUUAUACUUUAUGUAUACUCCCUGACACAUGUCUAAGAACAAACAAUGCUGUAUUAUUUGAAAAAAAAAUUCAAACUGGAAACAACCUAAAUGUCCAUCGACAGGGUGCUAGUUAUGAGGUUGUCUAACAUGUAAAGCUUCCCAAUGUUACAUGAAAAAGCAAAGUUCAAAAUAGUAUGUAUAUUGUAAUCCUGGUUGUCUAACAUAUAUGUACCAUGUAUCUAAACAUUUAUAGUUACAUUUAUAAUAUUGGUAUAGAUGUAUACGUAUUAGAAAUGCUGGAAAGAUCUAGGUGGGGCAAAUUGGCAGCACAGGAACAAAUUUAAUCUGCAGGAAGAUUUGUUUAUUGGUGGUGGUUGUUUUUUCACUUAAAUGGGAAUGCCUUUAGGAGAGGCUCCCAUACAGUUCCUAUUUAUUCCUCAAUGUAUUCCCUGUUAUCUUACACUCUCUGCUUCCCUCAGUUCCUUCUGGCCCUCAGAGGCAAAUGAGGAAAGAAAUCAUGGUGGUGGGGGCAGCUGAAGGGAUGCUUUAGUCUUUCCUUUCUGUUUCAACACUGUAAGCAAACAUUACUUCAUAAUUUAAGGGAGGGUAGACUAGGAACUUCCAUCAUUUCACAUCCAUGAGAAGAAGGAAUAGAGGAAAAUAAGGAUUCUGGAAGAAGAGGCACUGAGUGGGAAGUGAUUGCUAUAGUCUAGAUAAGGAGCAAGGAGAGUUCGAACUAGCCAGUGACAGCAAGGAUAAAUUGUGAAACUCAGGUUUAAAGCCUCUUUCUGAAUCCCUUCUUGGCCACUGCAGUUAAAGGAAUGCACAGGCUCCCUCAUCCCUUCUUUCUCCACCAUGAAACAUUGCAGCCUGUGGUUGAUCACAUGGGCUGCUGGGCAGAGCUUGAUCACAUGGGCUGUUGUGCUCUAUGGGAGUCUAACUCUGCCCAUAGCACACCCAGAGAGUCUCAUUCUCCUGUCCCUGCAAGUUAAGUUCUCACUCUUCACAGUGCUGGCACCAGCUGUGUAGGAAGCAGGAGCUGUCAGCACCAAAGGUACUAGGGAAAUCAAACCCGAAUGUCCCGGAGCCAAGGUCUACCAGAGAGUACUGUCCUGGCCCAUGUCUACAACAUAGGAUCAGUGGUUUCCCCAGUUAACAUCAAGAUAAUAUUGAAAACUCUACAAUCUGCAAAGUAAAGAUUUACCUUAAAAGAAGAACAAGGAACACUUCCAAGUGAAACAUUCUUUUGUUUUUGGCAGCAGCUAAAAGUCAGACUGGUGCAAGAGUCCUGGAGGCCGUAUUUUAUCUAUUUUAUCUACUGAAAAUUCUUCAGUUGAAUGAAAUUACUUAUUUAAACAGGUUUCACUGAAUUUAGGCUGGUAUUUCAGAGACUUUCUCCUCUGUGGUCUAAGCAGUGGGGAAUGGAAUAUGGUACUAAAGUGGGGAGAAUGAACCAUGAAUAAAGUCAGAUCCAUGAA
rnacentral:lncRNA from 10 species